rnacentral:rRNA from 1 species
UACAGAGGUCCCAAGCGUUGUUCGGAAUCACUGGGCUUAAAGGGCGCGUAGGCGGGCUGUCAAGUCCGGGGUGAAAUCCUCCAGCUCAACUGGAGAAUGGCCUCGGAUACUGAUGGUCUCGAGGAGGAUAGGGGCACACGGAACUGUGGGUGGAGCGGUGAAAUGCGUUGAUAUCCACAGGAACUCCGGUGGCGAAAGCGGUGUGCUGGAUCCUUUCUGACGCUGAUGCGCGAAAGCCAGGGGAGCAAACGGG